UACGUAGGGUGCAAGCGUUAAUCGGAAUUACUGGGCGUAAAGCGUGCGCAGGCGGUUCGUAUAAGACAGAUGUGAAAUCCCCGGGCUCAACCUGGGAACUGCAUUUGUGACUGUAGAGCUGGAGUACGGUAGAGGGGGAUGGAAUUCCGCGUGUAGCAGUGAAAUGCGUAGAUAUGCGGAGGAACACGAUGGCGAAGGCAAUCCCCUGGACCUGUACUGACGCUCAUGCACGAAAGGCGUGGGGAGCAACAGG
rnacentral:rRNA from 1 species